rnacentral:rRNA from 1 species
GACGAACGCUGGUGGCGUGCUUAACACAUGCAAGUCGAACGGUGAUGCCCAGCUUGCUGGGUGGAUCAGUGGCGAACGGGUGAGUAACACGUGAGCAACCUGCCCCCUACUUCGGGAUAAGCCUUGGAAACGGGGUCUAAUACCGGAUAUGAACACCGGCCGCAUGGUGGGUGUUGGAAAGUUUUUCGGUGGGGGAUGGGCUCGCGGCCUAUCAGCUUGUUGGUGGGGUAAUGGCCUACCAAGGCGUCGACGGGUAGCCGGCCUGAGAGGGCGACCGGCCACACUGGGACUGAGACACGGCCCAGACUCCUACGGGAGGCAGCAGUGGGGAAUAUUGCACAAUGGGCGAAAGCCUGAUGCAGCGACGCCACGUGAGGGAUGACGGCCUUCGGGUUGUAAACCUCUUUCAGCAGGGAAGAAGCGAAAGUGACGGUACCUGCAGAAGAAGCGCCGGCUAACUACGUGCCAGCAGCCGCGGUAAUACGUAGGGCGCAAGCGUUGUCCGGAAUUAUUGGGCGUAAAGAGCUCGUAGGCGGUCUGUCGCGUCUGGUGUGAAAUCCCAUGGCUCAACUGUGGGCUUGCAUCGGGUACGGGCAGACUAGAGUGCUGUAGGGGAGACUGGAAUUCCUGGUGUAGCGGUGGAAUGCGCAGAUAUCAGGAGGAACACCGAUGGCGAAGGGCAGGUCUCUGGGCAGUUACUGACGCUGAGGAGCGAAAGCAUGGGGAGCGAACAGGAUUAGAUACCCUGGUAGUCCAUGCCGUAAACGUUGGGCACUAGGUGUGGGGUCAGUUCCACUGGUUCCGUGCCGCAGCUAACGCAUUAAGUGCCCCGCCUGGGGAGUACGGCCGCAAGGCUAAAACUCAAAGGAAUUGACGGGGGCCCGCACAAGCGGCGGAGCAUGCGGAUUAAUUCGAUGCAACGCGAAGAACCUUACCAAGGCUUGACAUGUACGAGAAAGCCCCAGAGAUGGGGUUCUCUUUGGACACUCGUACACAGGUGGUGCAUGGUUGUCGUCAGCUCGUGUCGUGAGAUGUUGGGUUAAGUCCCGCAACGAGCGCAACCCUUAUCCUAUGUUGCCAGCGGGUUAUGCCGGGGACUCAUGGGAGACUGCCGGGGUCAACUCGGAGGAAGGUGGGGAUGACGUCAAAUCAUCAUGCCCCUUAUGUCUUGGGCUUCACGCAUGCUACAAUGGCCGGUACAGAGGGCUGCGAUACCGUGAGGUGGAGCGAAUCCCAAAAAGCCGGUCUCAGUUCGGAUCGGGGUCUGCAACUCGACCCCGUGAAGUCGGAGUCGCUAGUAAUCGCAGAUCAGCAACGCUGCGGUGAAUACGUUCCCGGGCCUUGUACACACCGCCCGUCAAGUCACGAAAGUUGGUAACACCCGAAGCUCACGGCCCAACCCGUAAGGGAGGGAGUGGUCGAAGGUGGGACUGGCGAUUGGGACUAAGUCGUAACAAGGUAACC